AAAAUACGUUUUCUAACUUUUGAAAACACGGGACUUCGUCGUCGUUCCUCAUUGAAAUCCAGAAUCGAUUUAGUGAUAGCACUCUCCCUCCCUAAACCCUCUCCUUCUAUCUCUCUGCAACCUAAUUCCUCCAAAACGCCAUGGUAGUUUCCUCCAAGGUUGGUAGCUGUCUGGCUGAUGUACGGAACGAAGUUGUCGAAUUGUAAUAUCCCUAGGGUACUAAGGAAUUCUUGACCGCUCUCUUGCUCUUCAUUUUUUGAAUCGAAUCGCAACACACAAACAAACAAACACAAAUCCUUAAUUUCUUUGUAGUGCAGAUUUUCUGUUCGUUUUUUAGGGGUAGUGAUUGGUGAUUUGGGGAGGGGUUGGUGAGGGGUACAUCGGGAAGAAAUGGCGCAAAGUCCGGUUCCGGCACCGUUUUUGACGAAGACGUAUGAGUUGGUGGAUGAUCUGAGCCGAAGACGUGUUUCGUGGAAAGAGAGCGGUACAACUUUCGUGGUGUGGAAGAACGCCGAUUUCGGGAGGGAUUUACUCCCUCAAGCACAACAACUUCUCAGCUUUGUCUGCCAACUCAACACCUAUAGAUAGAAUGAGAAAGAAAAUGAGCUUGGCUAGGUAUCCAUGGAGUAGACCUAACAUAAAUACUAGUUCUCUUUGAGUGGAAGUGGCACUAGGGUUGGACAAGUUGAUGUUGCAGAAUUUCGACCAAAGCUCCAAGCUAUGAUGACACUACAAAAGGAACUUGAACUCCUUCAAUGACAAAAGACUGCUUCCAAAGAAGUUACUUUAUCAGCCAAAGAAAGCUAGCUCAUAGCACUUUUUUUUUUGAUAUGAUUCAGAUAUUAUUUUAUGCUCCAUGGAUUCCAAUUUUAGGUAUCAUGAAUUCUAAUUUGGUGUUGUAUUUCUAAUCAGCAAGACUUCCAAUGGAAGUGUGGUUGUUAUUGAGUGUUCUUGAUCUCUUCCUUU